AGUGAACGCUGGCGGUAGGCCUAACACAUGCAAGUCGAACGGCAGCACAGUAAGAGCUUGCUCUUACGGGUGGCGAGUGGCGGACGGGUGAGGAAUACAUCGGAAUCUACUUUUUCGUGGGGGAUAACGUAGGGAAACUUACGCUAAUACCGCAUACGUCCUACGGGUGAAAGCAGGGGAUCUUCGUACCUUGCGCGAUUGAAUGAGCCGAUGUCGGAUUAGCUAGUUGGCGGGGUAAAGGCCCACCAAGGCGACGAUCCGUAGCUGGUCUGAGAGGAUGAUCAGCCACACUGGAACUGAGACACGGUCCAGACUCCUACGGGAGGCAGCAGUGGGGAAUAGUGGACAAUGUGCGCAAGCCUGAUCCAGCCAUACCGCGUGGAUGAAGAAGGCCUUCGGGUUGUAAAGCCCUUUUGUUGGGAAAGAAAAGCAGCAGGUUAAUACCCCGCUGUUCUGACGGUACCCAAAGAAUAAGCACCGGCUAACUUCGUG
rnacentral:rRNA from 1 species